rnacentral:rRNA from 1 species
GACGAACGCUGGCGGCGUGCUUAACACAUGCAAGUCGAACGGAAAGGCCCCUUUUGGGGUGCUCGAGUGGCGAACGGGCGAGUAACACGUGCGUAACCUACCCUUGCCUUCGGGAUAACUUACGGAAACUGGGGCUAAUACAGACUAGGUAUCAUUGCUUCCUGGAGGGGGUUGGAUAGAUUGGGUGGGUUUGGGUGGACUGGCGGGCUAUCAGCUUGGUGGUGGGGUAGGGGCUUACCAAGGAUUGGUCGGGUAGCCGGCCUGGGAGGGCGGCCGGCCACAUUUGGACUGAGAUACGGCCCAGACUCCUACGGGGGGCAGCAGGGGGGAAAAUUGCACAAUGGGCGGGAGCCUGAUGCAGCAACGCCGCGGGCGGGAUGACGGCCUUCGGGUUGGAAACCGCUUUCAGCAGGUGCGAAGCUUGUGGUGACGGUACCGGCAGAAGAAGCACCGGCUAACUACGUG